rnacentral:rRNA from 1 species
UAUGUGAUCGUCUCUCGCAUAUCAAUAAGCGGAGGAAAAGAAACUAACAAGGAUUCCCCUAGUAACGGCGAGUGAAGCGGGAAGAGCUCAGAUUUGAAAUCUUAAAGGGUUUCCCUUUACGAAUUGUAGUUUAAAGAAGUGUUUUCUGUUGAGGUUUUGGUAAAAGUUCUUUGGAAUAGGACAUCAUAGAGGGUGAGAAUCCCGUAUUUGACCUUUACUUUCAACUUUGUGAUACACUUUCAAAGAGUCGGAUUGUUUGGGAAUGCAGUCCAAAAUGGGUGGUAAAUUUCAUCUAAAGCUAAAUAUUGGCGAGAGACCGAUAGCGAACAAGUACCGUGAGGGAAAGAUGAAAAGAACUUUGAAAAGAGAGUUAAACAGUACGUGAAAUUGUCAAAAGGGAAGCGUUUGACACCAGUGUUGUUUUUCUGAAAAUCAAUUAAAGAACUGUUUAUGCUAAGUUGUUUAGACUUUAUCAGCUAACUGUUUAGUUUUGAGCUUUUCUUUAAUGCACUUUUCAGUUAACAAGUCAACAUCAAUUUCUUUUGCUGUAAAAAAGCUUGAGGAAGGUGGCUUGAGAUUCGUCUUAAGUGUUUAUAGCCUCUUGCCUAUGCAGUCGGAGAGAUUGAGGUCUGCAGCGUAGAUCCUUCGGGGCUAAAUGCAUUUGUGCUAAGUUAUAGCAUUUAUAGACAACUUGUUGACUAUGAUUUGUCUUGUAGCUUACUCGCUUAUGUUAUUUUACCUACGCUUAGGAUGUUGACACACGCGCGUGCUCG